GUGUGAAUAACUGAUUACGCAAGUUCCAUAAUCUACAAGGCCGCUUUUAAGGCAAAUUGAAGCCAUGCAGGAAACAAAUGCCAGAAGAGCCGAAGCUUGGGCUGCUGUUGAAAGAAGUCUUAAUUCUCGACUUCAGGAAGCUGAGGCUAAAGCUGCAACUACUGAGGAAAGAGAGCGAUCUGUGAAUGAUCGCUUAUCUCAAACCUUGUCUCGAAUUAAUGUUCUUGAGGCUCAGGUUCUGAAAUUUCUUGAGUGAAAUCAUGUCCUUAAUGAUGGUUUUGUGUACAUGUGACUAACUUCAAUAAUGAA